rnacentral:rRNA from 1 species
CGCAGAGACGCGAUUGUGCUCGAAAGAGAGCCGUAACACAGGUGCUGCAUGGCUGUCGUCAGCUCGUGUCGUGAGAUGUUGGGUUAAGUCCCGCAACGAGCGCAACCCUUGCCAUUAGUUGCUACGAAAGGGCACUCUAAUGGGACUGCCGGUGACAAACCGGAGGAAGGUGGGGAUGACGUCAAGUCCUCAUGGCCCUUAUAGGUGGGCUACACACGUCAUACAAUGGCUGGUACAAAGGGUUGCCAACCCGCAGGGGGAGCUAAUCCCAUAAAGCCAGUCGUAGUCCGGAUCGCAGUCUGCAACUCGACUGCGUGAAGUCGGAAUCGCUAGUAAUCGUGGAUCAGAAUGUCACGGUGAAUACGUUCCCGGGUCUU